rnacentral:SRP_RNA from 1 species
GCUGGGUGCGGUGGCACAUGCCUGUGGUCCCAGCUAUUCGGGAGGUUGAGGCUGCAGGAUCUCUUGAGUCCAGGAGUUCUGGGCUGUAGUGCACUAUGCCGAUUGGGUGUCUGCACUAAGUUUGGCAUCAAUGUGGUGACCUCCCAGGAGUGGGGGACCACAAGGUUGCCUAAGGAGGGGUGAACCAGCCCAGUUUGGAAAUGGAGCAGGUAAAAACUCCCAUGCUGAUCAGUAGUGGGAUCGCGCCUGUGAAUAGCCACUGCACUCCAGCCUGGGCAACAUAGUGAGACCCCGUUUCA